GUUAGCGGCGGACGGGUGAGUAACACGUGGGUAACCUACCUAUAAGACUGGGAUAACUCCGGGAAACCGGGGCUAAUACCGGAUAAUAUUUUGAACCGCAUGGUUCAAUAGUGAAAGACGGUUUCGGCUGUCACUUAUAGAUGGACCCGCGCCGUAUUAGCUAGUUGGUAAGGUAACGGCUUACCAAGGCGACGAUACGUAGCCGACCUGAGAGGGUGAUCGGCCACACUGGAACUGAGACACGGUCCAGACUCCUACGGGAGGCAGCAGUAGGGAAUCUUCCGCAAUGGGCGAAAGCCUGACGGAGCAACGCCGCGUGAGUGAUGAAGGUCUUCGGAUCGUAAAACUCUGUUGUUAGGGAAGAACAAAUUUGUUAGUAACUGAACAAGUCUUGACGGUACCUAACCAGAAAGCCACGGCUAACUACGUGCCAGCAGCCGCGGUAAUACGUAGGUGGCAAGCGUUAUCCGGAAUUAUUGGGCGUAAAGCGCGCGUAGGCGGUUUCUUAAGUCUGAUGUGAAAGCCCACGGCUCAACCGUGGAGGGUCAUUGGAAACUGGGAAACUUGAGUGCAGAAGAGGAGAGUGGAAUUCCAUGUGUAGCGGUGAAAUGCGCAGAGAUAUGGAGGAACACCAGUGGCGAAGGCGGCUCUCUGGUCUGUAACUGACGCUGAUGUGCGAAAGCGUGGGGAUCAAACAGGAUUAGAUACCCUGGUAGUCCACGCCGUAAACGAUGAGUGCUAAGUGUUAGGGGGUUUCCGCCCCUUAGUGCUGCAGCUAACGCAUUAAGCACUCCGCCUGGGGAGUACGACCGCAAGGUUGAAACUCAAAGGAAUUGACGGGGACCCGCACAAGCGGUGGAGCAUGUGGUUUAAUUCGAAGCAACGCGAAGAACCUUACCAAAUCUUGACAUCCUUUGACCGCUCUAGAGAUAGAGUCUUCCCCUUCGGGGGACAAAGUGACAGGUGGUGCAUGGUUGUCGUCAGCUCGUGUCGUGAGAUGUUGGGUUAAGUCCCGCAACGAGCGCAACCCUUAAGCUUAGUUGCCAUCAUUAAGUUGGGCACUCUAGGUUGACUGCCGGUGACAAACCGGAGGAAGGUGGGGAUGACGUCAAAUCAUCAUGCCCCUUAUGAUUUGGGCUACACACGUGCUACAAUGGAUAAUACAAAGGGCAGCGAAUCCGCGAGGCCAAGCAAAUCCCAUAAAAUUAUUCUCAGUUCGGAUUGUAGUCUGCAACUCGACUACAUGAAGCUGGAAUCGCUAGUAAUCGUAGAUCAGCAUGCUACGGUGAAUACGUUCCCGGGUCUUGUACACACCGCCCGUCACACCACGAGAGUUUGUAACACCCGAAGCCGGUGGAGUAACC
rnacentral:rRNA from 1 species